AGAGCGAACGCUGGCGGCAGGCCUAACACAUGCAAGUCGAGCGCCCGUAGCAAUACGGGAGCGGCAGACGGGAUAGUAACACGUGGGAACGCGCCCUUCGGUUCGGAAUAACUCAGGGAAACUUGAGCUAAUACCGGAUACGCCCUUACGGGGAAAGAUUUAUUGCCGAAGGAACGGCCCGCGUCCGAUUAGCUAGUUGGUGAGGUAAUGGCUCACCAAGGCUCCGAUCGGUAGCUGGUCUGAGAGGAUGACCAGCAUCACUGGGACUGAGACACGGCCCAGACUCCUACGGGAGGCAGCAGUGGGGAAUAUUGGACAAUGGGCGCAAGCCUGAUCCAGCCAUGCCGCGUGGAUGAUGAAGGCCUUAGGGUUGUAAAGUCCUUUUAACGGGGAGAUAAUGACGGUACCCGUAGAAUAAGCCCCGGCUAACUUCGUGCCAGCAGCCGC
rnacentral:rRNA from 1 species